CCCGGCGCUCGGUCCUCGCCAUGGCAACACCACACUUCCGGUCCGGGCAGCCACUGUCCGGAACUCGCAGCAGGCAGCUCCUCCAGGCUGGUUGGUUCACCCACACCUGAAUUUGUGUUGGCAGGUCAGGAAAUCUUACCACCUUCAGGUUUUGGACUUGCCUCAUCUGAUAUUUAAAAGGGACUGCAAAGUCUUUCAGCCAAGGUCAGGAAUGUAAUGCCUGACUCGAAGCCCAUUGAUAGAGCCCUUAUUGGUAGAUGAAAGCCCUGUCCUGUGUGAAGGUCAGGGAAGAGUUGGCUACUGAUAGGAAGAGCUCCAGCCUUUCUCGGUCCUCUUUGGGAUUCUUCAAGCUUCAAAUCAUCUUCAGGACUUUUCAAAAGCAGAAAUGAAGAUUUUCCUCGGAGAAAGAUGGAAGGAGAAGAGGACUAGAGAUGUCUAUUCUGCCUCCCUUGGAGCCAUGCAACAACAGCCCUCACCACAAGUGGGCCUUGCUAUACAUUGGGUCUUCUUUUCCUACAAUUAAAAUAUGAAAAGUGCUGUCUAUGCCUAGUUCACCCAGAUUUGUUCAAUUAUAUUAAUAGAUACAGAGACAGCAUACUGUCAUCAUGAUGU